GGUUCGGUGGCAGAGUGGUAAUGCAUCUGCUUCUUAUUUGCAUAUACCGACAAUCUGUUGGGGAGGUCGCCUGUUGGAAUCGGGCCCGAGCCA